rnacentral:rRNA from 1 species
AUUGAGCGCAGGCGGCAGGCCUAACACAUGCAAGUCGAGCGGAUGAGUGGAGCUUGCUCCAUGAUUCAGCGGCGGACGGGUGAGUAAUGCCUAGGAAUCUGCCUGGUAGUGGGGGACAACGUUUCGAAAGGAACGCUAAUACCGCAUACGUCCUACGGGAGAAAGCAGGGGACCUUCGGGCCUUGCGCUAUCAGAUGAGCCUAGGUCGGAUUAGCUAGUAGGUGAGGGAAUGGCUAACCUAGGCGACGAUCCGUAACUGGUCGGAGAGGAUGAUCAGUCACACUGGAACUGAGACCCGGUCCAGACUCCUACGGGAGGCAGCAGUGGGGAAUAUUGGACAAUGGGCGAAAGCCUGAUCCAGCCAUGCCGCGUGUGUGAAGAAGGUCUUCGGAUUGUAAAGCACUUUAAGUUGGGAGGAAGGGCAGGAAGUUAAUACCUUGCUGUUUUGACGUUACCAACAGAAUAAGCACCGGCUAACUCUGUGCCAGCCGCCGCAGUAAGAC